AAGCGCCUGCAACCAGACUUCGCGGCAGUGUUCCGCCGGUCUUCUGACCGGUUCAUUCUCUGUCGCGAGGCCAUCAUCGUCUGGGCCCGCCGGAUAAGACCUGAGGAAUGUGGCUCCCCCUCGGGGGAGUGUUAUAGCCUCUGGUGAUGCGGCGUGGCUCGGGCGAGGUCCGCGCUUCGGCAAGGAUGAUGGCGUAAUGGUUGUCGGCGG
rnacentral:rRNA from 1 species